GAUGAACGCUGGCUACAGGCUUAACACAUGCAAGUCGAGGGGAAACGACGGGGAAGCUUGCUUCCCCGGGCGUCGACCGGCGCACGGGUGAGUAACGCGUAUCCAACCUGCCUCUGACUGAGGGAUAACCCGUCGAAAGUCGGCCUAAUACCUCAUGGCAUCGUCUGCGGGCAUCCAACGACGAUUAAAGAUUUCAUCGGUCAGGGAUGGGGAUGCGUCUGAUUAGCUUGUUGGCGGGGUAACGGCCCACCAAGGCUACGAUCAGUAGGGGUUCUGAGAGGAAGGUCCCCCACAUUGGAACUGAGACACGGUCCAAACUCCUACGGGAGGCAGCAGUGAGGAAUAUUGGUCAAUGGGCGGGAGCCUGAACCAGCCAAGUAGCGUGCAGGAUGACGGCCCUAUGGGUUGUAAACUGCUUUUAUGCGGGGAUAAAGUGAGGGACGUGUCCUUCAUUGCAGGUACCGCAUGAAUAAGGACCGGCUAAUUCCGCG
rnacentral:rRNA from 1 species